UUACAAGAGCUGGAUUUUGAUUGGCUAGUCAUAGCCAAUCAUAGCCCUUAGGUCCAUGGUUAGUGUUAAUGAAUGUAAUACAAGUUCUCUUCAUAAUCUUCUACAAUCUGAUAGAAGAAAAGUGCUGUUUUUUAGAGAAUUUGCUCGAAAUUUCUCGGUUUGAUAUGCAUUUUUGGAAGACGAAGCAUAAUUUCAAUCAUUUUGUGUUUUGUAAUAUUUUUACUAAUCUUGUGUUAAAGAUUCCAUUGAAAGUUGUAUGAAGGAACUAAUAUAUUUCAUAAAUUAUCAAGUCACUGAAGGAUUAUAUUUUUUUCAAAUUCCCAAUAUGACGAAUAGACAGUUGAUAUACCAACAAAGAGAACGAAAGAUCAAGAAAGAAAGGAAGUCGUUGAAGGAGAAUUUAGAAGAACAGACGCUGAAAAAAUGCGACGAAAACUUACCCUUGGAAGGCGUGUUUCAGUGGAAACUAGAAAAUAUCUCUGACAUGAAUAUUCGGAAACGAGUUGAAACCAAAGUUCACGAUAUUUUAAAUAAAAUAGAAGAUGGUAAAAGACUUCACGGGGUUUUGUCCCACUGCAAGACAGUACGAAUUGGUUUCUCUUUUUUGUAACCGGCUGAUUGGGAAUUUAAGCACAACUUAGUGUUUAUUUACUGCGCUUUAAGCAGAAGUAGGUAACAGUUUGGUGUUUGAAACAAUAGCUGUGGAGGCAGGUGGAAUAUAACAAUUGUUAUUAUAGUUAGAAGCAGGUGGAAUAUAACAAUUGUUACUGCUGAAGUAUAGUUGGAGGAAAAUAAUCAAUUCUUUCAAACCGUGAAGCUUUAUUCUAGAGGGUCAUGUUUUCUCGCAAAAUAAUGCGUUAUUAUGAGUUAAGAUCAGAACCCAAAUAGAGCAUUUCAGAUUAUAAAUAUAUUGAGAUAAUUGUCUUAAAUAUAAGUCUAAAAUUUAUGCUAUAAAAAAAUAUAACUUUAUCUACUCGGUAUAUUAGACAAUAAAGAGUUUUAUUAAACAAUGAAGAGUUUUUAAUAGUUAUGUUUCAGUUAAUUCAACACAAUAAAUUAAUUCAUGAAGUUUGUUCGGGUGAUUUUAGAAAAUUGGCAGCUCUGUUUGUUCCAAAAAACAAAAUGGCUCUUGCUCUUAAAAUUAAAAUUUAGUUAUUUUUGGACGUGAAGGCGUUUUUUUUUGUUAUGCUGUCUUUUCGAAAAUGUCUAUCAAUCACAAAAACUUUCGUGACCUUUCGUAAAUUUUCACGAAAAUUGUCGUAAAGAUCAAGUGAGAGUUUUUAAAAGUUUUUUAAGAAACUUUACUACAAAUUUUUUCAAUUUGUAGUUCAACUGAAAUUUCCUAAAUUCGGAAAUUCGAAGGAGUUGAUACGCAUUUAGCGACUAAUAUGGUUUAAAAUCUAACAAUUAUAUGUUACAAAAACAAAAAUAGAUUUUAUUAUUAAUACAUUUUAAAAGAUACGAAUGUCUUUCGUAUACCAGGAAAAAUAUUUUCUUAACCUAGGAGAAUUCCGUAGUAGUUGGAGAGC
rnacentral:misc_RNA from 1 species